GCGCCUAUAGCUCAACUGGAUAGAGUGUCUGACUACGAAUCAGAAGGUUGGGGGUUCGAGUCCUCCUAGGCGCACCA
rnacentral:tRNA from 1 species